rnacentral:lncRNA from 1 species
AUGUCAACCAGACUAAAGUGGAGCAACCAAAGUGAAUUUGUAACCAGGCAAUUCAAUCUUUGAGGUUACUUCUAUAAAGGACCAGAGCAAAGGCUGCAGAAGUGAAGAGAGAAUUGAUUUGAAAUGUUAUUCCUGCCCACAUAUUCUGGUAGGGUUGAGAUCACAUUUUUUGACAUGUAUACUGGCUGUGUUUUGUCCUUCAGAAGAUGUAUUCACAGAGCAUCUGUAGCUGUGUUCUAGAUAAUGAGGAUGAGCCUCUUGAGGCUGCAUGUUCCAAGUCUGAUGUCAAUUAAGCCAAUAUUCUGAAGGAAACAAAACUUUUAUACCCCUUCUGUGUUGAAAAGUUGUGUCGGUGGUUCUCAAUCCAUGAAGUGUCUUCUUCCUUGUUGAGGAGAAAUGUGGUUUCCCCUACCUGGUCAGGAAAGCCAUUUCUUCAGGUGGAAAGAGCACUGGUCCCUGCCCCAAGCUGCCUGGGAGCAAUAAUCCUGGGUUGAAUGAAUGUAGCAGGUAAUUCAUUCCAAGGAACUAACUAGAAGCAUUUUAUUAACAGGUAAAUUGUUGUGCCCACCAUAAUGAUGGGUGAGUGUUAGGACCACGUUAAAAAUUGUCAUGUAAAAAGAGGAAAACCAUUUCUAUGAUUCUCUUGUGAGGAAACCUGAAUAUCACUUUAUUCCCUGGAGUCUACACAAUUUUAAAAAGUUCUACUCUUUGCAUCAGUUAAAACAAUUCCUUUUGGGGGAGGCUUCUGCCUCACAAAUCUGGCUGUGGGGAACCUUUGCGUUUUGAAGUCCUUCUUCCCUCCUAGGGAAGGAAAGAUGGAGUGACAGUGGAUGGAAUUUCAUUUGCUUUUUCUGAUACAUGUUUUUCACAAUCAAGCACGUUUGAUUAUGUUUUAUAUUGUGUGUGGCACUGUAUAACAUUUCUUCUUUAUGUUUUCCCCUCGAUUUCCAAUCCAACCUCUCAACAAUACAAAUAGCAGCAACUGCCAUGAUUUGUGUGGAAUUUCACAACUUGUGUAGUCUUAUACUUAUAUUAUUUCAGUGAAUUCUCACCAUGACCUGGCAAAGUAUUUCUCCUGGCUAUCAAAUUUUAUGCUGAAGCCCCUGCAUUAGAGAAUUUUAGCACCUUGCUCAAGGCCAAAUAGCUUGGAAGUGAUUUAGGUGACUCUGCCUACACAGUACUCACAGUCCUACUUACAUACUACCAGGCANNNNNNNNNNNUUCCUGCUCAUCCAGUGGGACGGGCUGCCCACAUCUGUGAGCUGAUUUUCAUGGAGGUGAAGCUCUGUAUCUCAUCUUUACUUCCAUUUCCUUCCUUUCUUGCUUUCUUCCUUUUCUUUUCUUUCUUUCCUUCCUUUCUUUAUUUCUUGCUUGCUUGCCUUCCUUCCUUCCUUCCUUCUUUGAGCAAGGGAUUGAAUCAGAGCCACCAGUUUCGACCUACGCCAUAGCUGCAGCAACACUGGAUCCCUUAACCCACUGUGCUGUGCAUGGGAUCACACUCGUGCCUCUGCAGCCACCCAAGCAGCUUCAGUUGGAUUCUUAACCCACUGCACCACAGAAGGAACUCCUUUGCCUCCGUUUUCAUGGUGAGGACAUCAGUGCCUUAUGACCAAUAAAGAUGCCUGAGAUGCUGAGAGGAGGGAGAGACCUCUUUGCCUGAAUGCAGUGCCAUUUCAGGUCUCUGUCUCCAUCUUUCUCAGUCACAGGAGCGAGAUGGCCUUCUGUAAAAGUGUCUCCACAAACCAUAUCAGACAACCUUUUGUUAUUUUCUUCCAGUCCUUGCAAACUCUUUUAUAGGCAAGAGCUCAUCUUAGGUUUAACUGUAUUUCUGGCAUGUGGCCCUGUGGCUGCUGUGUAGUGCCAGGCUGGGAAGGCACCAGGUUCUCCAGGGUGCUGGGAAGGGAAAAGUUGAGCUGAUAAAUUAUCCACUGAGAGAAGCUGGGGAGCAGGAGGUCCUGGAGCAAACAGCAAGUAGGAGGAAGGAGGCUUAUAUUUUUUGAGCACUGUCUGAAUACCAGGCACUAUGGUGUUUUACUUAGUCAAAAUUUAACACUCAAAAUUAUUUUUAUGGAAAAAUUGCUAUCAUGAUCUUCAUUUUGCGGGUAAUGAAAGGGAGAAUGGAAAGAUUAAUAAACUUGUCUAAAGCUGCAUAUCAUAAAUACUAGGGAAGGGGGAGCAAGGAGCUGAGGAGGAACAGGAAACAUUGCAGCUGACUGUUCUUUGUAACUGAUAAUCUACUAGUUGCUACAGAGAAGGUUGGGGUUGAGAAGGGUUUUUGUUUAAACCCACCCACCUCACCAAAAUUACAAAGGUAUGCUGUCAUCGUCCCUUCCAGAAGUUUCUGGUGCCAUUCCUGAACUGUUACAACUUGUAUUUCCAAGGCUGGUUCAUAUUUAUAUGGUAUUCUCACCACACUACAUUCUCUGUCCCUCAGGUUAUAAUCCAGGAUAAAGAGAUACAGUGUGAACCCCUAGCAGGCUCUCCGGGUCUUCCAAGGGAUUUAGUUCAACCCUGCCCAGCCUUUCCAUGUUUCCCCACUUCAUUCACUGCUUUGCUACAGCCACAGGGGCAGCCGUAUAGUUUAUGGAACCCUGUGAUCCACGGUACUCUCUUCCUUUGAGCCCACUUGUUCCACAGUCUCUCCUCUUCUCCCUUCUCUUGGAUAAUCAUGCCCAACCUCUGUGUCUCGGCUGCACCCUGGAAGCCUGCCACAUCCUCCCAACCUGGACUAAGAGCUCUGGGCACCCAGAACAUUUGUUUGUCCCCCAGCAGAGCACAGGCUAGAAUUUGUACUCACCUCUUUUCUUUACUACAGGGUAAGCUUUUAAAAGCAAGGACUGUCUGCCUUGUUUGCUGUUGUAUUUACAACAUCCAUUUUUAACAUGAGUUGAAACAUGUUCAGUAAAAGCCUUCUGGUCUUAGUAUUACGCUGUUUCUCCUGCCUCACCUUCUCUUUCUCCAGUAAAUUCUUUUUUUUUUUUUUCUUUUCUUUUUGCUUUUUAGGGCUGUACCCAAAGCAUAUGGAGGUUCCCAAGCUAGGGGUCAAAUCAGAGAUACAGCUGCCGGCCCAUGCCACAGCCACAGCAACUUGGGAUCUGAGCUGUGUCUGCAGCCUACACCACAGCUCACAGCAACGCUGGAUCCCUGACCCACUGGGUGAGGCCAGAGAUUGAACCUGCAUCCUUAUGAAUUCUCGUCAGAUUCAUUUCUGCUGUGCCACAAAGGGAACUCCAUCUCUGGUUAAUUCUUAUUCGCUUUGUAUCUGUUAAAUGUUUCCUUAUUCUAUUCCAAGCUGAGCUAGGUGCUCCUCUUAGGUGUUUUGUGGUGCCCAGUUCUCGCAAUCUCAUCAUUUAUCACAUGUUGCCCUCACUGGAUCUCACUUACUUUGGACUGAAAACUCCUUAAGGACAGAGUUUAUAGUUAAAAGACCACAGUGUUCUCAUUAAGUGAUACAGUGCCUGGCACUCUGUAAUUACUGUUUAUAGGGCGAAUAGAUACAUUAUUUUGGACAAAAGUAAAUAAGGGACUGUGAUACUAGCAAGACUCAUUCAUCUAACAAAUUCUGAUCAUAUUCCAACUCUGCCAGGCAUAUACCAGGUGUUGAAGGUACAAUAAUGAACCAAACAGACUUGUUCUCUGCUCUGGUAGGUCUGAGAACCCAAUGGUGUUGGGUAGGGGGUUCCUGGGAUGAAGGAAUUCUAGCUGAAGUUAAUGGUUAUACAAUUAGUGGUCUUUAUAAAGAAUUAUCUAAAAUAGCACACUUUCCUUCUUGGGUUAGUGUUGAGGACGAUGGCAGGGCACACAUUUUGUAUCUUACAACACAGCAGAUCCCCAAUUUUUUUUCUUUUGGUUUCGUCAAUAGCAUAUGGAAGUUCCUGGGCCAGAGAUUGAAUCCAUCCAAGUGGGAGCUGCAACCUACACCACAUUUGUGGCAACGUGAGAUCCUUAACCCACUUCUCCAGGCUAGGAAUUGAACAGAUCCACAGAGAAAAGAUGGAUCAUUAACCCACUGUGCCACACUGGGAACUCCCAGAUCUCUUAGUUUUAAUGUAUCUUUCACUGUUGUGGUAUAGUCCUCUCUAAGUAGGAGAUAUUUGCCUAUUAACCUAAGCUGAAGUGCAGCAUAAUGCAACUCAUUUUGCAGAAGGUUUCAAAUGCUGUGUUUCAUAGCAGGCUCCUUUUGGCGUGGUUGGUUUGGGUGUCACCAUCUUGCCUGUCAUGGAGAUGGAAGUUAUGACCUCUGGAAGUUCCCAUCUACUCAGUGCUUUUUCUGAUUAUUCCAAUUAAGCAUGAAGUUUGCCUUGUUUAAAGAACUAAGCAGAAUGCUAUGAGGAAAAGUAUUAGCAAGGAAUUCUCUUGUAGCACAGUGAGUUAAAGAUCCAACAUUGUCACUGAAGGGGCUUGGGUUGCUGCUGUGGCAUGGAUUUGAUCUUGUGCCUGGGAAAUUACAAAAGAAGUUUUUUUUUUUUAUUAUUACUGAAUGAAUUUAUUACAUUUAUAGAUGUACAAUGAUCAUCACAAUCCAAUUUUACCAAUUUUAUAGGAUUUCCAUCCUGCAACCUCAGCAUAUGCCCCCACCCCCCAACCUCUCUCCUUUGGAAACCCCAAGUUUUUCAAAGCCUGUGAGUCAGUAUCUGUUAUGCAAAGAAAUUCAUUUUGUCCUUUUUUCAGAUUCCACAUGUCAGUGAAAGCAUCUGAUGUUGGUGUCUCAUUGUAUGGCUGAUUUCACUUAGCAUGAUAGUUUCUAGGUCCAUCCAUGCUGCUAAGAAUGCCGGUAUUUCAUUCUUUUUAAUGGCUGAGUAAUAUUCCAUUGUGUAUAUGCACCACCUCUUCUUGAUCCACUCUUCUAUUGAUGGACAUUUAGGUUGUUUCUAUGUCUUUGCUAUUGAAAAGAGUGCUGCAAUGAACAUCAGAGUACAUGUGUCUUUGCAAGUCAUGGUUUUCUCUGGAUAGAUGCUCAGGAGUGGGAUUGCUGGAUCAAAUGGUAGUUCUAUUUUUAGUUUUCUGAGGAAUCUCCAUACUGUUUUCCACAGUGGUUGCACCAAUUUACAAUCACACCAAAAGUGUAAGAGGGUUCCUUUUUCUCCACACUCUCUCUAGCACUUAUCGUUUGUCGACUUUUUGAUGAUGACCAUUCUGGCUGGUGUAAGGUGGUACCCGAUAGUGGUUCUGAUUUGCAUUUCUCUAAUAAUGAGUGAUGUUGAACAUCUUUUCAUGUGUUUUUUGGCCAUCCAUAUGUCUUCUUUGGAGAACUGUCUGUUUAGAUCUUCUGCCCAUUUUUUUGAUAGGGUUGUUUGUUUUUUUGGUAUGGAGCUGAAGAAGGUGUUUAUAAAUUUUGGAGAUUAAUC